rnacentral:lncRNA from 1 species
GAGUUGCCCACUUGAAGGCUUUUAUCAGAGGCUUCUGGGAAUUGUUUUUGGGCCUGGAUGAUCCCUGUGAGAAAGGAUGUGGGCUCCUCUGCUUGUUCAGGGCUCAAUAGCAAAGGGAUAAUUCAUUGCCUUGAGAGAGUCAGGGCACGGUCUUCUUGCCCAUCAAGCAGGGAGGUGGCAAAGCGGAGAUGAAUGUGAUACUGGAGUGUCCCUGCCAUGGCCAGGACUAGAGGGAGGAACCCUGCUCUGCUUAAUACCCAUUUGCAUAGUAUCUGUUGAUACUGAGUUAGGAGCUGAAUCCAGCAGAAAGAAUGCGCUCAAGAAUAGCUUCCAGGAUGCCCAGGGACAGGUAAUUCUGCCCACCUCAGUCCUGCUCUAGCAUUCUACCCACCAACGACCAGAAGUAGUGUCCAGAGCAGCAUGAGGGCUAAGGCAAGAAGUUCUACCAGCAACUGUCAGGUGCAGCUCAGGUCCUUAGGGCAGCUGUCUGUCUGCAUGGACCGUGAAACCAGGAUUUGGCCCUGUGGUUUAGUAGGGAUUAUAUAAAAUAGAAAAAUGGAAGUAGAAAAGCUCUGUGUCAGUCAGCAUUGUCUCCACCCCCAUGGAUAAGGAGAAAGUAAUUUGUUUCUCCUUUACAGACUUGCUCAGAUGUUUGUGUAUUGAUCAGAAAUGCUCUAUAAAGUGUCAAGUGUCUUCAUCCUAUUUUUAAGCUUUCCAACUCAUUUUGACUUUGUUGAGAAUGCUGAGUUUUGGGCCUUCUGAGAUUCGAGUCACUUACUUGGUCUGCUUUAAAGGGAAAAC